CAAUAGCGUAUAUUAAAGUUGUUGCAGUUAAAAAGCUCGUAGUUGGAUUUGUGGUUGGAGCGACCGGCCCGUCACUCAGUGUCGGUGUUUGUGUCGUCUCCGUCCAUCCUUGGGUGGAACCAGCGUGGCAUUGAGUUGUCGUGCUGGGGAUACCCAUCGUUUACUGUGAAAAAAUUAGAGUGUUCAAAGCAGGCUUACGCCGUUGAAUAUAUUAGCAUGGAAUAAUAAGAUAGGACCUGGGUACUAUUUUGUUGGUUUGCGCACCCUGGUAAUGAUUAAUAGGGACAGUUGGGGGUAUUCGUAUUCCAUUGUCAGAGGUGAAAUUCUUGGAUUUCUGGAAGACGAACUAAUGCGAAAGCAUUUACCAAGGAUGUUUUCAUUAA
rnacentral:rRNA from 1 species